AUGGACCUGACCCCUUUCCUUCUCACGCUGCUCAGUGUCUGCAAAGGUUGGGAAGAGAGAAUCCCGGCGCUCAUGGGGGUGGGGAGCAGUGUCCAGGCUGUGGUGACUCAGGAGCCUUCUCUGACCGUGAUCCCAGGAGGAACAGUCACCCUGACCUGCAGCUCCAGCACAGGGGCAGUCACCUCUGGGCACUAUCCUUGCUGGAUCCAGCAGAAAUCUGGCCAGUCUCCCAGGGGUCUCAUUUUUGGUACCAAUAAUCUAAUAUCAGGUGUUCCUGCCCAAUUCUCAGGGUCCCUCCUUGGGGACAAAGCUGCCCUCACCCUCAAGGGGGCCCAGGCUGAGGAUGAGGCUCACUACUACUGUGUGCUGUGGUAUAGCAAUGUUAGGCACAGUGAGAAUCUCCAAUGGAGAGCUGAGACAAAAACCUUCUCAGGCCCAGCCCGCUCCAGUUGCACAGACUCCCUGAGGGCUGUAGAUCCCCAGAUUCUGGGCUUGACAUGA